AUGUCAGCUUCUGAUUGGCUGAAGCAAGCUGAUCACAAGCUUGCAGGAAGUAUGGGAGGGUGCCGUAGCAUCUCGUUCCAGUUUCUGAAUGUGCAGUCUACACUUUCUUAUGUAAUUCUGAAAGCCUGGACAAUGAUUUUAAUUAAAAGCUUUUUUAAUAUUCACGCAGGUCAUCAGCCUGCAGAGACUGACGCUGCACCGAAAAGUGAACGCUGCAAAAACAGUAAACGCGCUGAGUUUGUGGAGAAACACGAGAUAGAGUUGAUCAGAAGGGUCUCACUGAUGGAGCCCAUUGCAGACGACAUGAAACCUCUGAUUGGUGAUGAAAAAUACCAAAUCAUCUUAAAUUCAGGAACACCACAAGACAAAAUGAGAAAGCUUCUGAACUUUAUCACAACAACUAAACUGAAAGAGAAACUUUACCAUGAGACUGAUAAUAAACAUAGCGUCAGUGAUUCUGAUGAAAUCUUCAUAGCUGAUGUCAUGGCAUGCCUUAUGUUAAUGCAUGAGCUGUUAGUGAAUGUGUUGCUCAAAUGUUGUAUUCUUGGCUGAAAAAUAGCUUGAUGUGUGUGUCGUUCCCCAGAGGAGAUAGAUUUCUUUGCUUUCUUUUUCUUAGUGAGGCAUAUAUAACUCUGAAAAUAAAAGAAAAAUGAAAAUGUGUCUCUCAGUUGCAUGCGUCUGUAUUUCUU
rnacentral:lncRNA from 1 species